GGAAUCUUCCACAAUGGGCGCAAGCCUGAUGGAGCAACACCGCGUGAGUGAAGAAGGGUUUCGGCUCGUAAAGCUCUGUUGUUAAAGAAGAACACGUAUGAGAGUAACUGUUCAUACGUUGACGGUAUUUAACCAGAAAGUCACGGCUAACUACGUGGCCAG
rnacentral:rRNA from 1 species